GAGGCCAUUUGAAUUAAGACUCUCCUUUUAAAAAUGGGUUAAAGAACAAAGUGAGUGAAAACCUAAGCCCCCCCCACCCCCCGGAGGAAGCUCUAGUUCCGGGGCUGCGCGGGCCCCGUUUUUCCGGGGGUUAUCGCACGGGAGUUGGUCGCCCACCGCGUCCGCUGUUGAGGUCGGGCGGCCGCAUCCCGGGGCACCUGGGCCUCUUCGCGGCUCCUGGACUCCACGGCGCAGGUUUCCUCUCGAGCUCGGCUCGGCAAUCCCGGGCCCCUGACCUCUGCAGCCGCGCCGCCCACCGCUUCCUCCCCCGAGGGCGUAAACCCGAAUCCACUCCGGCCUCGGGCCUCGGCCUGCGCCAUGGCCCGCGGACCGCCCGGCUCUGAGGAUUCUGGGCUGGGGAGAGGCGGGCUGAGCUCCCCUCCUGACGCGAUUCCGCACGCAUCUGUUUCGGGACCCUGGCCGUGUCCCGGCCUUAACCUCCUCAGCGUUACAACGGGGAUAAUAAUCCUUGCCGGCUCGCCCGCCAGGUGGUGGCUGGAUAAUAUAUUCCGGUGGAGGAGUGAGGAGGAUUGGCAGAGACUGUCAACUACUCCGCUGGGUGGCCGUUCACAGCCCUCCCAGAUUGGAGGGCGGGGGUAGUUCGCCCCCGGCCUGCGACCUCCCGGAAGAAAGGGGCUCGUGGUUGUUUAGGUUGCGCAGAGCCCGCCACGCUUCCGGCGGGGGCACGUGGCGCCUUUGGGGACCUUCGCCUCACUGUCCCGAGCUCGGCCUGGGGCGGAGCAGCCUUCUGGGCACCCUGUACUCGGUUCUGCGCGGACCCCACCGUCUCGCCGCGGGCAGCAGCCGUAGGAGACUCCGGAACGUCUGGCCAGAUCUGGAGCUGAGCGUCCCCGACUGAACCCAGGCAGAAAGGGAAGCCCUGUAGGUUGUCCUGAUCUGCGGACGCAGUUGAGGCGACCCUGAGUCUCGCAGGAAAACCAGUCCCAGAGAAGACGUUGGCCUCUGUUGGUCAGACCUCCGCGGAGAGUCUCAAAGGAAGAAGUCCCACCAACUCUUCACAAAACUAUAAAACCAUCUAGAAAAGGAAGCGUCCACAUGGAUUGAGGGAAACAGUUGAGAAUUAAAAGAUCAGAAGAGGACCCAAGACAUUGGCUAUGAGGAAGGCGGAUGCUUGUGAGACACGUUUUUAAAGAAGCAAGAAGACUUGCUGGACAAAGCAGAACUCCUGACAUAAUGAAAGACAGUAGAAGAAUCCAGGACUUCUCUCCCUUCCUGUCUUCGUAUCGCUCCUGUGAUAGGAGUGAAACCACCAAUGCGAACCUUGGACCAGGCUUUUCAGCAUGAUGUCCUCAAGGUCCAGCCACAUUGUCGUGAAUGGUGA